AUCCAGCUGAGGAGUCCCAAAUAGGACGAUAUUCACAUUCUGGAU
rnacentral:hammerhead_ribozyme from 1 species